AUUGAACGCUGGCGGCAUGCCUUACACAUGCAAGUCGAACGGCAGCAUAGGAGCUUGCUCCUGAUGGCGAGUGGCGAAUGGGUGAGUAAUAUAUCGGAACGUGCCCUAGAGUGGGGGAUAACUAGUCGAAAGACUAGCUAAUACCGCAUACGAUCUACGGAUGAAAGUGGGGGAUCGCAAGACCUCAUGCUCCUGGAGCGGCCGAUAUCUGAUUAGCUAGUUGGUGGGGUAAAAGCUCACCUAGGCGACGAUCAGUAGCUGGUCUGAGAGGACGACCAGCCACACUGGGAUUGAGACACGGCCCAGACUCCUACGGGAGGCAGCAGUGGGGAAUUUUGGACAAUGGGGGCAACCCUGAUCCAGCAAUGCCGCGUGAGUGAAGAAGGCCUUCGGGUUGUAAAGCUCUUUUGUCAGGGAAGAAACGGUUCUGGAUAAUACCUGGGACUAAUGACGGUACCUGAAGAAUAAGCACCGGCUAACUACGUGCCAGCAGCCGCCGUAA
rnacentral:rRNA from 1 species